CACAGCAGCUUGCUCUCCUGGCUGGCUUCCCGCACCACCUGCAGCGCCACCCCGCGGCCGCCCGUGGCCUGGGACUGUGAAUAUCCUGGACUUGUCAGGGUAGAUGGGCUAGGAUUCUAGAGCCUAGAAUCAAUGCAAUACUCCCUGGACCGCUGCUUUGCUGUUGUUAAUCCUGCUGACCUCAACUUUCUAGGACUUCAGGCCAUUUUCCAUGGAUUUCAGCAGUUAUCUAGUGAGGGAGAAUGAGACAGCUAUAAAGAUACCAGCCACUGAACACUCCAUCAAGGGAUCCCACAGAAGACACAUCCCUCCAUUACUUGCUUCUUGGUUCAUACCAAAACCAGGGAACUAAAGAAUCAUCAAGGGCCCCUGGAGGUUGCUCUCAUGUGAAUGUCCAAAGCACUGGAGCAGUGUUGUCCAAUACAUUCUGUGAUGAUGCCGUGUAUACAGUGAUGUGCCCUGUCUAUGCACUGACCAAUACAGUGUAGCUACUGUGCCCUUGGAAUGUGGCUGGUGGGACAGCAGAACCGAAGUUUUGGCUGUAAUCAUUUUAAUUAAUUAAAAUAAAAUUGCCACACAUG
rnacentral:antisense_RNA from 1 species